UACGUAGGGGGCAAGCGUUGUCCGGAAUUAUUGGGCGUAAAGGGCGCGUAGGUGGCCCGGUCAGUUCGUGGUGAAAGCGCGGGGCUCAACCCUGCGUCGGCCAUGAAUACUGCCGCGGCUGGAGCACUGUAGAGGCAGGCGGAAUUCCGGGUGUAGCGGUGGAAUGCGUAGAGAUCCGGAAGAACACCGGUGGCGAAGGCGGCCUGCUGGGCAGUUGCUGACACUGAGGCGCGACAGCGUGGGGAGCAAACAGG
rnacentral:rRNA from 1 species